CAAAUCUGUCCGGUAUAUGUUAAUAGUUUUCUACCAGAAGCGUCUAACCUGCAUGAUAAAAUGAAAGCUGUAUUUCUGGUCUGCUGCAUUUUGUUGUUGUCGAUGGCAGCUGCUGAAGAUGCAGAAGUGUGUCCUGGUGGGUGUACAUUUGAUUGGACGCCAGUUUGUGGAGACGAUGGCAAGACACACGGAAACAACUGUUCCCGUAUCUGCAAUGGUGCUAAAUUUGUAAAGAAUGGCGAGUGUUGACAGUUGGUAGAUUCUGAUCAACUAAUGUAAAAAAAAAGACUCAAGUUAAAUGUGUGAACUAUUCAUUACAGUUAACAGUAAAUAAAAGAUUAAAAAAUAA